CUUCUUCAAUCUGCUGGGGGCAGAUGAAGUGGAUGUGGGCGUCGAUGCCGCCAGCCGUGAGGAUUUUGCCUUCACCGGCGAUGAUUUCGGUGCCGGGGCCGAUGACGAUGGUGACGUCUGGCUGGGUGUCUGGGUUGCCGGCUUUGCCGAUGGCGGCGAUUCUGCCAUUUUGCAGACCGACGUCGGCUUUGACGAUGCCCCACCAAUCGAGUAUCAAUGCGUUGGUGAUGACGGUGUCCAUGACGGUGUCAUCAGCCCGUUGGCUUUGGCCCAUGCCAUCGCGGAUG
rfam:Marinobacter algicola DG893 1103407001893, whole genome shotgun sequence.